UGGGGAAUAUUACACAAUGGGCGCAAGCCUGAUGCAGCCAUGCCGCGUGUAUGAAGAAGGCCUUCGGGUUGUAAAGUACUUUCAGCGGGGAGGAAGGGAGUAAAGUUAAUACCUUUGCUCAUUGACGUUACCCGCAGAAGAAGCACCGGCUAACUCCGUGCCAGCAGCCGCGGUAAUACGGAGGGUGCAAGCGUUAAUCGGAAUUACUGGGCGUAAAGCGCACGCAGGCGGUUUGUUAAGUCAGAUGUGAAAUCCCCGGGCUCAACCUGGGAACUGCAUCUGAUACUGGCAAGCUUGAGUCUCGUAGAGGGGGGUAGAAUUCCAGGUGUAGCGGUGAAAUGCGUAGAGAUCUGGAGGAAUACCGGUGGCGAAGGCGGCCCCCUGGACGAAGACUGACGCUCAGGUGCGAAAGCGUGGGGAGCAAACA
rnacentral:rRNA from 1 species